GAGAAGCCAGAGAGCCGCCCAAGGAGCAACAUGUAAUAGGACACAGCAACAUUGAUGUGUUUGGCCUUCUGGAGUUGAGCAGAGGACUUUCCAAGCCGUAACAGAUUCCAAGACAGGAGAGAGCCUAUUGGACCCAGAAGCUUAAUCAGCACAUUUCCAAUGCAUUGUUUGAUAGAAUUCUAGAGGAAGAAAGAAGUCAGAAAAAAAUGUUGAAGGAAAUAAUGGUCCAGUACUCUACAGUUUAAUGAAGAAUAGCAAUUUACAGUUUCAAAAAUUCACUAAAGCUAAGAAGUCUAAACAGUGAAUAUUACUUCUGGAUGUAUCAGUCAAAAUGCUGAUAGAGUAAACAUUGGAACUAUCUAACUGUAGGGAAAUGUGGAAGGCAGAUGAGGAAAACUAACGAUAAGAUAAUUGGAGACUUCUCACUGUGGACUGUAGAACUCAGAAGACUUUGGAUCAUAACGAAGUGAUGAAGGAAAAUGAAAAAAAAGCUUGCAGACAAGAAUUGGCCAAGCUAUUCUUCAAAGACAAAGACAAAGUGGAAACAAAUGCAAAUAAACCAAAUUAAGAUCGUUUGUCUGAAGAUCUGCACUGUAAGAAACGUUAACAUGAAUUUCUCUUAGUUUGAGAUGAAGUUACACUGGACCCAGCCUGGACUCACAGGAAGGGAUGGAGAGCGGAGUUCUUGGUUCUCAUCACCCUGUCGCUUCCAUGUCUAGGGCUUUUGAGCUGAAGAGAUUCAACACUAACCACCCUAGGUGGCUCCCUCCAAUGCCCUGUGUCUAAGGAUGUCAAAGCAUGUGAUACACGCCACUGCUUUCUACCCAAGACUGUGCUGCACCUGGACCCUGAAUGAUGACCAUGAUUUUCAAGGAUUGCUGGAGCAGGGACUGGGAUGUGACCAGCCUGUCAUCUUCUUGUUCGGGAGAGACUAUUUCAAUUUUUUUUUUUCAUCCUAGCAUAUUAGAAGGUUGCAAUCUUAAAAAGUUCUUCAGAGAAAUCACAUUGAUGUCAUUUUCUGCCUUUGGCAUUAAAAAUGAUUUGUUUAUUUU